UACGUAGGUGGCGAGCGUUGUCCGGAUUUACUGGGCGUAAAGGGGGCGUAGGCGGACUUUUAAGUGAGAUGUGAAAUACUCGGGCUCAACUUGAGUGCUGCAUUUCAAACUGGAAGUCUAGAGUGCAGGAGAGGAGAAUGGAAUUCCUAGUGUAGCGGUGUAAUGCGUAGAGAUUAGGAAGAACACCAGUGGCGAAGGCGAUUCUCUGGACUGUAACUGACGCUGAGGCUCGAAAGCGUGGGGAGCAAACAGG
rnacentral:rRNA from 1 species